CUGGGGAAAGCAGGAGUGAGGGU
rnacentral:miRNA from 1 species